UUACUAUUAUACUUUCUUCUAUAAUAUGUAACAAAAAAAUGCUAUUGUCUGAAAAUGAGAUGAUGAAAUUGAAUUUAUGCCCUAACUUCUAAAAGUGUUUUUUUUCUCCAGAAAGGCAGAUGAAUUGCAAAAUAGUAAAGACAACCUCAGAAAACACCAUGUUCUCACAUAAGGAUUUACAGGACAAAAUAGUAAAGAAUGAAUUCCUUUGAAUUGAAA
rnacentral:misc_RNA from 1 species